rnacentral:rRNA from 1 species
GACGAACGCUGGCGGCGUGCUUAACACAUGCAAGUCGAACGGCAAGGCCCUGCUUUUGUGGGGUGCUCGAGUGGCGAACGGGUGCGUAACACGUGAGUAACCUGCUCUUGACUUUGGGAUAACUUCAGGAAACUGGGGCUAAUAUCGGAUAGGAGAUCCUGCAGCAUGGAGGGGGUUGGAAAGUUUCGGCGGUUGGGGAUGGAUUCGCGGCUUAUCAGCUUGUUGGUGGGGUAGUGGAUUACCCAGGCUUUGACGGGUAGCCGGCAUGAGAGGGUGACCGGCCACAUUGGUACUAAGGUACGGACCAGACUCCAACGGGAGGCAGCAGUGGGGAAUAUGGCACAAUGGGCGGGAGCCUGUGGCGGCAACGCUGCGUGCGGGAUGACGGCCUUCGGGUUGUAAACCGCAUUCGCCUAUGACGAAGCGUGAGUGACGGUAAUGAGUAAAUAAGCACCGGCUAACUACGUG